rnacentral:lncRNA from 1 species
GGCAGGCCCCCACCCUCAUGGAGCUGUGGAGACUCUCAUCCCACUCCAGUCUUUCUCCUUUAAUAGGCUGUGAGAACUAGGAACAUUGUUUCAAGAAACAAUCAGAUCAGUAGCUGACAUCAUAGGUCUUCCUGAAAGAAAGGAAAGAGAUGCAGAGCAGAGAUAAGACCAAAAAAGUCCCCAAAUGCACAUGGGCUGCUGGUAAUCACAGCUAGCACUGAGGCUAUCUGCAACUUCUUGAACUUUAAGAGGGACCCAGUCAUUCUGGUGUCCUGACUCCCAAGUAUUUAUUCUCUGACUGAGGCAUAAAGAUCCGGGUGAGCUAAUGCAUCAACCGAUGAAAAAUGAACAAUUAAAACAAUGAAGUUGUCGGUUCUUUUACCAGAUUGCAAAUAAAUAACCUGCCUGUCAGACUGGCUGCUCUGCUGGACCAUUAGUUUAAUACAAAGACAUUCUGAGGAACGGGUGGAUGACAGCUGAUCUAUCACCCCAGUGGUUCCAGGCCUUUGAUAAAGACCUGAGCAAAAAAUGCUGUCAUAAACCACAAAAGGUCAAUCCCAAUUUGUGGGAAGCAAAGUAUUAAAUGAAAUUUGAAUACACCCCUCUGCCC